GGCGAGGUAGCUCAGGUGGUUAGAGCGCAGGAUUCAUAACCCUGAGGUCGGGAGUUCAAGUCUCCCUCUCGCUA
rfam:Spongiibacterium flavum strain DSM 22638 genome assembly, contig: Ga0070522_101